rnacentral:misc_RNA from 1 species
GUUUGAAUAAGCCCUCCAAUUGGUUUCUUUCUCUAAAAUACUCGAGUACUGUUGUCUAAAAACAAGGGAAAAGAAAAAGAAGCUUGAAAGAAAGUUAAAUCAGUUUGGAAGAGUGGCAAUAUUGUUUUACAUAAUUUAUUAGUCCACAGGCCCUUUAAGUAGUGCACACAUAUAGUUGUUCUUGGAUUGGUUUUAAUUUACAUGUACCGAAU